GAAAACGCAUCAUUUUCGCAUAAAUGGGGGAUUCUCGAAUAGAAAACGCGUGAUUUUCUGGUUAAGUGGGGGAUUUGCGAAUAGAAAACGCGUGAUUUUUGCUUCAAAGGGAGAUUUGAGAAGAGAAAACACGUGAUUUUCGCGUUAAAUGGCAAAUUCUCGGAGAGAAAACGCAUGAUUUUCGCAUAAAUGGGGGAUUUGAGAAGAGAAAAUGCGUGUUUUUCGCUUAAAUGGGGGAUGCUCG
rnacentral:lncRNA from 1 species